rnacentral:rRNA from 1 species
GACGAACGCUGGCGGCGUGCCUAAUACAUGCAAGUCGAGCGAAGUUUUUCUGGUUCUUGCACUAGAAAAACUUAGCGGCGAACGGGUGAGUAACACGUAAAGAUCCUGCCUCAUAGACUGGGACAACUAUUGGAAACGAUAGCUAAUACCGGAUAACAGUAUUUCUCGCAUGAGAGAUAUUUAAAAGUUGGUUAUGCUAACACUAUGAGAUGGCUUUGCGGUGCAUUAGCUAGUUGGUGGGGUAAAGGCCCACCAAGGCGACGAUGCAUAGCCGACCUGAGAGGGUGAUCGGCCACACUGGGACUGAGACACGGCCCAGACUCCUACGGGAGGCAGCAGUAGGGAAUCUUCCGCAAUGGGCGAAAGCCUGACGGAGCAACGCCGCGUGAGUGAAGAAGGAUUUCGGUUCGUAAAGCUCUGUUGUUAGGGAAGAAUGGAUAUGUAGUAACUAUACAUGUAAGAGACGGUACCUAACCAGAAAGCCACGGCUAACUACGUG